rnacentral:sRNA from 1 species
UUCGACUGAUACGUGGAGGGAUGAGUCAAACGAAGAGAAAAUGUUACAAGAAAGCCCCUCAGACCAUCCUUAUCAAUGGACUCUUACAUACAAUUCUAAACAAUUUUGAUAUACAAAAUAAUGUUUAAAUAUUA